GACGUAGGUGGCGAACGUUAUCCGGAAUUAUUGGGCGUAAAGGGUGCGUAGGCGGCAUGAUAAGUUAUUGGCGGCAAAUCGAGGCUCAACCUCGUGGAAACUGAUAAUACUGUCUUGCUUGAGUGCAGAAGAGGUUAACGGAACUCCAUGUGGAGCGGUAAAAUGUGUAGAUAUAUGGAAGAACAUCAAUAACGGCGAAGGCAGUUAACUAUUCUGUUACCGACGUUGAGGCACGAAAGCGUGGGGAGCAAAACGG
rnacentral:rRNA from 1 species